AGCGAACGCUGGCGGCAGGCCUAACACAUGCAAGUCGAGCGCCCCGCAAGGGGAGCGGCAGACGGGAGAGUAACACGUGGGAACGUACCCUUUGGUUCGGAACAACCCAGGGAAACUUGGGCUAAUACCGGAUAAGCCCUUACGGGGAAAGAUUUAUCGCCGAAGGAUCGGCCCGCGUCUGAUUAGCUAGUUGGUGGGGUAACGGCCCACCAAGGCGACGAUCAGUAGCUGGUCUGAGAGGAUGAUCAGCCUCACUGGGACUGAGACACGGCCCAGACUCCUACGGGAGGCAGCAGUGGGGAAUAUUGGACAAUGGGCGCAAGCCUGAUCCAGCCAUGCCGCGUGGGUGAUGAAGGCCCUAGGGUUGUAAAGCCCUUUCGGCGGGGAAGAUAAUGACGGUACCCGCAGAAGAAGCCCCGGCUAACUUCGUGCCAGCCGCCGCGGUAA
rnacentral:rRNA from 1 species